GGCAAGGGGGAGGCGGAGGAGAGAAACCGCGGCGGCACAUCGCCCCCCGCCCCCCGCCGCCGGCGAUCCCCACCGUAUUAUGGUGGUUACGCCGCGGCCCCUGGAGGGAGCUCGAGAUCUCCAGAGUUCCCCACCGUGGUCUGUUGAUGGUUGGAGUCAAGACAGAAUUUGAUUUGAGAUUAGGUUGGGCCAACAACCAGAUAUCAGCAGAACACCACCGCCGAGCUCGCGCCAGGUUCCAUCUUCCCUGCUUUCAUCAGAGGCUAUUGUUUCAGUUGCCAGGCGAGUGAACUAUAUGAUCAUAAAGGUGCAGAAAGAAUUACCUUCUCCAGAUUGGACGAAAUACCAAGUGAAAUAAUCAGGACAUCUAUUAGGCACAUGCAUCUUGAACAAUUAGAUUGACAUCGGGAGAAGUAGACUUCAUACUUUCUGUACAUCAAAAUUUGUUGAAUUAUUAGUGAAUCCUUUAAGGUGGAUUCCAAUUGUAUAGAUUCAGAGAUGUGUGUCUAGAAGCUUGAGAGUACUCAUAACAAAAAUAUAUUUUCUGGGAUCGCAAUUUUCUUGGACAGGAGCUGCAUGCAAUUUUGGUUCAAGUAGUGAGACAGUCGUCUCCCUAGUCCCUCACUCCGAUAAGUAAUCUGAUCACUCUGUGCUCUUGAACAGUCAGUUUCAAAUGACUACUCUUUUGCAUGGGAGAGUUCAAAGAAACAACACAGAGUACCAGUAUCUUCCUUUGAAGAGACUGCGAAAGGCUAACGAAGCAUCCUCAGACCAUCGCACAUUGUGUCGAUGGUUGCAGGAUGUGAAGAGACAGACGUAUUUCAGCUCUGCGGCUGUUCUUCGACUUCGAUUUCGUUGGUGAGAUGUUCUUCGACUCCGACUCUAAAUGGCAAGACACUCUUGGAACAGAAGCUAGUUUGCCACUGCUAUCUUUUCUCUGGAUGGAGCUAGAAGAGAGACUGCCAUGUCUCGAGUAUUGGCGGCAAAGUUUUGAUUCCAUCCGUGCAGCAUCGCUGGCUGGAAUCAUCUUCAGUUGAGCUUAUGAGGCUGUCAUGUUCCCAUUAUUGGCGGCAAAGUCGUCUGCACGAGGAUGCAGUUUGUUCAUGGAUCCAAACAGGUGGUACCAUGAAGCAAACUGAAAAGGAGGAAGCAACGUUGAUGUUUCUUUGUUGUACCUGCUGGCUAUAGUAGUUGACUUCAGGACUCCUCGUGCAGCCUAGCUGGCCUGUUUCUGUGAUCUAUUGCAAUCUGGAAGUAAUCCACAUGUUCUAGCUGAGCUUACACAUUGUUGUGUUCCAACUAUUGACAGCAAGAAUAUGCAUAGGUGUCUCGUAUGUGCGCGGGUGCAUGGAAAGCGCUGAUAUAGCUUUAAAUGGAUUGUUAAUUGUUGUCUAGAUUACUGGUGAUUGUUCCACUUCCACCUACAUCAACCAUAUGAUCAAAAUGGAAGGCGGAAAGGAGACAGCAUUACGCCAAGAUCUGAAAAGAAGCAAGCGGCCAGGAUAUGACAUCAAUGGUGGCAUCCAUAUACAUAAACAAUGAACCAGGAGCUGACUGUAUUGGAGUAUGGAGUGAGAUUGAGGAGUUGGGUAAGAAUGGAGAAGCUUUGGUCUGAUGUCUUGACCCAUUCAGUGAGGCUACUUAUGCAACAGAAGCAGCUGGGACACAUUUCUUGAAAGGGAGAAAACAGGAGUCGCGGCAUUUAAUUUGCUGUAGAAUUGUCACAUUGUCAAGGAUUUACACGUGGUACAUGUUUCUUUUAGGCCACCGAAGACCUUUAUGAGUGUUUAACACUCUGUCAUGUUCCACCUAUUGGUAGCAAAGCAUCUGCAUUACUUCCGAGGAUCGUGGUGGAUCUUGAAGUAAGUGCAAGAAAGGUUCUUUAGUGGGGUU